UACGUAGGGUGCGAGCGUUGUCCGGAAUUAUUGGGCGUAAAGGGCUCGUAGGCGGUUUGUCGCGUCGGGAGUGAAAACAUCUGGCUUAACUGGGUGCUUGCUUUCGAUACGGGCAGACUAGAGGUAUGCAGGGGAGAACGGAAUUCCUGGUGUAGCGGUGAAAUGCGCAGAUAUCAGGAGGAACACCGGUGGCGAAGGCGGUUCUCUGGGCAUGACCUGGCGCUGAGGAGCGAAAGUGUGGGGAGCGAACAGG
rnacentral:rRNA from 1 species